GACGAACGCUGGCGGCGUGCUUAACACAUGCAAGUCGAACGGAAAGGCCCUGCUUUUGUGGGGUUCUCGAUUGGCGAACGGGUGAGUAACACGUGAGUAACCUGCCCUUGACUUUGGGAGAACUUCAGGAAACUGCGGCUAAUACCGGAUAGGAUCUCCUGCUCCAUGGUGGGGGUUGGAAAGUUUCGGCGGUUGUGUAUGGACUCGCUGCUUAUCCGCUUGUUGGUGGGGUAGUGGCGUACCACGGCUUUGACGGGUAGCCGGCCUGAGAGGGUGACCAGCCACAUUGGGACUGAGGUAGGGACCAGAAUGCAACGGGCGGCAGCAGUGGGAAAUCUUGCACAAUGGGCGGGAGCCUGAUGCAGAAACGCCGCGUGCGGGAUGACGGCCUUCGGGUUAUGAACAGAUUUCGAAUGUGACGAGGCGUGCGUGACGGUAAUGGGUCAAGAAGCAACGGCUAACUACGUG
rnacentral:rRNA from 1 species